CCAAUUUCUCUGAACUUGAAGAAUAGGAGAUGAGGAUUAUAGGCCUGCGAUUUGGGGCCAACCGGUUAUCGACUAAAACCAAAAUCCCCAAGUGUAUUCGACCAAAAACAAAAUCCCUAAACCUAGUUCUUCACAAGUGCUAGCCACUUUACCUCUAACAGAUUAGUAGCAAGAGGGGAAAAUGCACUACCAUGCUCCUAAUUUGUCCAAUACAAGUAGUGAAGAAAAAAAAAACAGUGUCACCACCAAGGACAACCAAUGUGAUUGAAAGGGGAAAUUGCUCGCUCUUGAGAGCUUUCGAGCGAUGAUCAUAUGAAGCAUGGUAAGUCUCGGAUAAUCGGUUAGCUGCGUGCCUAAUCCAACUAUGUGGGGGUGCCUCUGCCUAAGCCACGGAGAAGCGGGAAAAUAGUUUAAUGCCUACCUGCACAACAUUGUAUAAAAUCCGAAUGAAUAGCAUUAGUGAAAUUUUGAACAUUUUCUUUUAAUAUUUGUGAACAUGGACCGUCAAAGAAAAUGUAUGCUCUUUCUAACUUUAUAAA